UGCAGUCGACGGAAGGCCCUUCGGGGUACUCGAGUGGCGAACGGGUGAGUAACACGUGGGUGAUCUGCCCUGCACUCUGGGAUAAGCCUGGGAAACUGGGUCUAAUACCGGAUAGGACCACACACUUCAUGGUGAGUGGUGCAAAGCUUUUGCGGUGUGGGAUGAGCCCGCGGCCUAUCAGCUUGUUGGUGGGGUAAUGGCCCACCAAGGCGACGACGGGUAGCCGGCCUGAGAGGGUGACCGGCCACACUGGGACUGAGAUACGGCCCAGACUCCUACGGGAGGCAGCAGUGGGGAAUAUUGCACAAUGGGCGCAAGCCUGAUGCAGCGACGCCGCGUGAGGGAUGACGGCCUUCGGGUUGUAAACCUCUUUCAGUAGGGACGAAGCGAAAGUGACGGUACCUACAGAAGAAGGACCGGCCAACUACGUGCCAGCAGCCGCGGUAAUACGUAGGGUCCGAGCGUUGUCCGGAAUUACUGGGCGUAAAGAGCUCGUAGGUGGUUUGUCACGUUGUUCGUGAAAACCCACAGCUUAACUGUGGGCGUGCGGGCGAUACGGGCAGACUAGAGUACUGCAGGGGAGACUGGAAUUCCUGGUGUAGCGGUGGAAUGCGCAGAUAUCAGGAGGAACACCGGUGGCGAAGGCGGGUCUCUGGGCAGUAACUGACGCUGAGGAGCGAAAGCGUGGGUAGCGAACAGGAUUAGAUACCCUGGUAGUCCACGCCGUAAACGGUGGGUACUAGGUGUGGGUUUCCUUCCUUGGGAUCCGUGCCGUAGCUAACGCAUUAAGUACCCCGCCUGGGGAGUACGGUCGCAAGACUAAAACUCAAAGGAAUUGACGGGGGCCCGCACAAGCGGCGGAGCAUGUGGAUUAAUUCGAUGCAACGCGAAGAACCUUACCUGGGUUUGACAUGCACAGGACGUACCUAGAGAUAGGUAUUCCCUUGUGGCCUGUGUGCAGGUGGUGCAUGGCUGUCGUCAGCUCGUGUCGUGAGAUGUUGGGUUAAGUCCCGCAACGAGCGCAACCCUUGUCCUAUGUUGCCAGCGGGUAAUGCCGGGGACUCGUAGGAGACUGCCGGGGUCAACUCGGAGGAAGGUGGGGAUGACGUCAAGUCAUCAUGCCCCUUAUGUCCAGGGCUUCACACAUGCUACAAUGGCCAGUACAGAGGGCUGCGAAGCCGCAAGGUGGAGCGAAUCCCUUAAAGCUGGUCUCAGUUCGGAUUGGGGUCUGCAACUCGACCCCAUGAAGUCGGAGUCGCUAGUAAUCGCAGAUCAGCAACGCUGCGGUGAAUACGUUCCCGGGCCUUGUAC
rnacentral:rRNA from 1 species